rnacentral:tRNA from 1 species
UCUUCUUGUGGUGUAUAAACACACUAUUUUUUCGUGAUUGAGAAAGCCUUUAGGCUCUUGAGGAA